UACGUAGGGUCCAAGCGUUAAUCGGAAUUACUGGGCGUAAAGCGUGCGCAGGCGGUUCGUUAAGUCGGGGGUGAAAUCCCGAGGCUCAACCUCGGAACUGCCUUCGAUACUGGCGAUCUUUGAGUCCGGGAGAGGUGAGUGGAACUCCGAGUGUAGAGGUGAAAUUCGUAGAUAUUCGCAAGAACACCAGUGGCGAAGGCGGCUCACUGGCCCGGUACUGACGCUGAGGAACGAAAGCGUGGGUAGCGAACAGG
rnacentral:rRNA from 1 species